CCCUUAGAUGCUCUGGGCCGCACGCGCGCUACACUGGUCGAUGCAACGAGUUUCUUUCCUUGGCCGACAGGCCUGGGCAAUCUUUGAACAUCGAUCGUGAUCGGGAUAGAUUCUUGUAAUUUUUGAUCUUAAACGAGGAAUUCCUAGUAAACGCAAGUCAUCAGCUUGCAUUGACUACGUCCCUGCCCUUUGUACACACCGCCCGUCGCACCUACCGAUUGAAUGGUCCGGUGAAAUCUCCGGACUGGCGUGAGUCGGAGCAAUCUGACAAACACCGGAAAGUUGAUUAAACCUUACCAUUUAGAGGAAGGUGAAGUCGUAACA
rnacentral:rRNA from 1 species